AAAAACAUCGCCUUUAGCCUAACAAGUAUUAAAGGUCCCGCCUGCCCAGUGAGCCCCCUUUAACGGCCGCGGUACUCUAACCGUGCAAAGGUAGCGUAAUCACUUGCCCUCUAAAUAGGGGCUAGUAUGAAUGGCUAAAUGAGGGCCUAACUGUCUCCUAUGAUAAUCCAAUGAAACUGCUCUCUCAGUACAAAAGCUAAGAUAAACACACAAGACGAGAAGACCCUGCGGAGCUUUUAAACACCACACUAAUCCCACUACCAUAGUGCAAACUUUAAGUUGGGGCGACUGCGGAGAAAACCAAAACCCCCGUGACACAGGACUAAACCCCACCCGAGGCCUACAAGCCAAAACUACUAGUAACCCACUGACCCAGCACUGCUGACCACCGAACCAAGUUACCCCAGGGAUAACAGCGCGAUCCCCCUUAAGAGUCCAUAUCGCCAGGGGGGUUUACGACCUCGAUGUUGGAUCAAGACACCCCGGCGGUGCAGCCGCUGCUAACGGUUCGUUUGUUCAACGACUAACGUCUUACGUG
rnacentral:rRNA from 1 species